rnacentral:rRNA from 1 species
CCUACGGGGGGCAGCAGUGGGGAAUAUUGCACAAUGGGGGGAACCCUGAUGCAGCGACGCCGCGUGAGUGAAGAAGUAUUUCAGUACGUAAAGCUCUAUCAGCAGGGAAGAAAAAAGGACGGUACCUGAGUAAGAAGCCCCGGCUAACUACGUGCCAGCAGCCGCGGUAAUACGUAGGGGGCAAGCGUUAUCCGGAUUUACUGGGUGUAAAGGGAGCGUAGGUGGCAUGGUAAGCCAGAAGUGAAAACCCGGGGCUCAACCCCGCGGAUUGCUUUUGGAACUAUCAGGCUGGCGUGCUGGAGGGG